rnacentral:rRNA from 1 species
GUGCCAGCCGCCGCGGUAAUACGGAGGGUGCAAGCGUUAUCCGGAUUCAUUGGGUUUAAAGGGUGCGCAGGCGGAUACUUAAGUCAGUGGUGAAAUCCCGGGGCUCAACCCCGGAACUGCCGUUGAUACUGAAUAUCUGGAAUACGGUUGAAGUGGGCGGAAUGUAGCAUGUAGCGGUGAAAUGCAUAGAGAUGCUACAGAACACCGAUCGCGAAGGCAGCUCACUAAGCCGAUAUUGACGCUCAGGCACGAAAGCGUGGGGAGCGAACAGGAUUAGAUACCCUGGUAGUCCACGCCGUAAACGAUGAUAACUCGUUGUUGGCGACACACAGUCAGCGACUAAGCGAAAGCGAUAAGUUAUCCACCUGGGGAGUACGAUCGCAAGGUUGAAACUCAAAUGAAUUGGCGG